rnacentral:rRNA from 1 species
GAUAAACGCUAGCGGUGUGCAUUAUGCAUGCAAGUCGAACGGUUUAUCGCAAGAUAAACAGUGGCAAACGGCUGAGUAACGCGUAAGCAAUCUGUCCUUAAGUGGGGAAUAAUCCGCCGAAAGGUGGACUAAUACCGCAUGUGGUAGUGGAGUCAGUUCUUCAUUACUAAAGCUUUCGAGCGCUUGAGGAGGAGCUUGCGCCCUAUCAGGUAGUUGGUGGGGUAAUGGCCUACCAAGCCUACGACGGGUAGCUGGUCUGAGAGGACGUCCAGCCAGACGGGGACUGAGACACGGCCCCGACUCCUACGGGAGGCAGCAGCAGGGAGUUUUGCGCAAUGGGCGAAAGCCUGACGCAGCAACACCGCGUGAGGGAAGAAGGCCUUCGGGUUGUAAACCUCUUUUCUCAGGGAAGAAUAAUGACGGUACCUGAGGAAUAAGUCACGGCUAACUACGUGCCAGCAGCUGCGGUAAUACGUAGGUGGCAAGCGUUAUCCGGAUCC